rnacentral:rRNA from 1 species
GACGAACGCUGGCGGCGGGCUGAACACAGGCAAGGCGAACGGAAAGGCCCCGGGGGGGGGACGCGAGGGGCGAACGGGGGAGGAACACGGGAGGAACCGGCCCGGGACGGCGGGAGAACGGCAGGAAACGGGGGCGAAGACCGGAUAGGAAUCCUUGCUGCAUGGUGGGGGUUGGAAAGCUUCGGCGGUUUUGGAUGGACUCGCGGCUUCUCCGCUUGUUGGUGGGGUAGUGGCUUACCAAGGCUUUGACGGGUAGCCGGCCUGAGCGGGCGACCGGCCACCUUGGGCCUGCGAUCCGGCACAGACUCCUACGGGAGGCAGCAGUGGGGAAUAUUGCACAAUGGGCGGAAGCCUGAUGCAGCACCGCCGCGUGCGGGCUGCCGGCCUUCGCGUUGUACACCGCUUUCAGCAGGGGCGAAGCUUGUGGUGACGGUACCUGCAGAAGAAGCACCGGCUAACUACGUG